GUCAGUGUACACUCAUACCAGAAUAUGCUCUUACUUUCGUCUGUCUUAUCUAUGCAGUUGCUGAAGAAAUUGUUUUCUCAUAUACACAACAAACAAAAAUAUUGCCUAGCAUAACACACACAAACACAACUUAUGUAUACUACACCCUGUUUACUGUAUUUCGGAGAAUUUAUAUCCAUUUUAUUUAUUUUAAAUUUAUAACUAAAGCUAAAGCUUGCAUACCUUGAGAUUGUACUCCUUUUAUGUGUUCAUUCAUAAAUAAAACAAUGGAAAUGAGUA